rnacentral:rRNA from 1 species
AUUGAACGCUGGCGGCAGGCCUAACACAUGCAAGUCGAGCGGGGGUAGCAAUACCCUAGCGGCGAACGGGUGAGGAAUGCUUGGGAAUCUGCCUCGUAGUGAGGGAUAACGUUCCGAAAGGAACGCUAAUACCGCAUACGUCCUACGGGAGAAAGGGGGGGAUCUUCGGACCUCUCGCUAUGAGAUGAGCCCAAGCGGGAUUAGCUAGUUGGUGAGGUAAAGGCUCACCAAGGCUACGAUCCCUAGCUGGUCUGAGAGGAUGAUCAGCCACACUGGAACUGAGACACGGUCCAGACUCCUACGGGAGGCAGCAGUGGGGGAAUAUUGGACAAUGGGCGAAAGCCUGAUCCAGCCAUGCCGCGUGUGUGAAGAAGGCCUCGGUUGUAAGUACGACUUUAAGUACGAGGAGGAA